rnacentral:lncRNA from 1 species
AAUGCAUACGUAUCAUCUUUCCCAGCUGCUCCUACAUUCAUCCGGUCUCCCUCUCACACUCAGUACCCUGCUGCAGUCCCUGCAUACCCAUAUGACAGGCCAGCUGCACCUGCCAUGUAUGGCAGCAGGAGUCCACCAGCCAACCCUUAUGCUUACUCGCCGGAAGCUGCCCCUCCUCUUGCUGGAUCAUAUCCUGGAGCUCCCAUCAACUAUCCUGCAUAUGGAGGCUAUGGCAAUGGUAUGGCACCAGCUUAUCAGCAGGCUUACUACUGAUAAUAGACAUGACUACUCUGAAGAUGGUAACACUGAUAUGAUGAUGACCCC